rnacentral:piRNA from 2 species
CUUUUACUAAAGAUUUCCGUGGA